AAAUUGAAGAGUUUGAUCAUGGCUCAGAUUGAACGCUGGCGGCAGGCCUAACACAUGCAAGUCGAACGGUAACAGGAAGCAGCUUGCUGAUUCGCUGACGAGUGGCGGACGGGUGAGUAAUGUCUGGGAAACUGCCUGAUGGAGGGGGAUAACUACUGGAAACGGUAGCUAAUACCGCAUAAUGUCGCAAGACCAAAGAGGGGGACCUUCGGGCCUCUUGCCAUCGGAUGUGCCCAGAUGGGAUUAGCUAGUAGGUGGGGUAACGGCUCACCUAGGCGACGAUCCCUAGCUGGUCUGAGAGGAUGACCAGCCACACUGGAACUGAGACACGGUCCAGACUCCUACGGGAGGCAGCAGUGGGGAAUAUUGCACAAUGGGCGCAAGCCUGAUGCAGCCAUGCCGCGUGUAUGAAGAAGGCCUUCGGGUUGUAAAGUACUUUCAGCGGGGAGGAAGGGAGUAAAGUUAAUACCUUU
rnacentral:rRNA from 1 species